rnacentral:RNase_P_RNA from 1 species
GCAGGCUCCACAGACAUACGCUGUAUGUUCGCAUACAGAGGAAAGUCCGAGCACCACGAAGAGACACGGCGUUGCUAACGGCAACCGUGAGCGGCGUGAGCCGUUUCAUAGGGAAAGUGCCACAGAGACAAUACUAUCCACUUCGGUGGAGAAAGGUGAAAAGAGCGGCGGUGUGCCUUCGGGCGCUACGCAGCUUCCGUCCCGGUAACGGGAACGGGUGGUAAACCCGCCGAGGUGCAAGGAUACGGGCCCCGCUCCGCGCCAAGCUGUUUCUUCCUUUUGGCGGAAUCCGGGGGUAUCUGCUGGAUCCCUUUCAAGCCUAUGCUUUGGAAGGGCAAGAAAGAUGUAUGUCACGUGGGGGCAUUGGCGCCCUCCCGACAGAACUCGGCUUAUGGGGGGCCUGCGCCU